rnacentral:tRNA from 1 species
UCCCUGGUGGUCCAGUGGCUGAGACUCUGCACUUCGAAUGCAGGGGGCCUAGAUUCAAUCCCUGGCCGGGAAA